UGCAGGUGCUGAUGGGGAUCAAGUUAGCAAACAAGCUGAAUCUGGGGAUUGCGCAUAUGUGGUCAGAAACUAUCGUCGAGGUACGUGCAAGUUCUGACUUCUGAGUUUGGGGGCUUCAAUUUUAAUUUGUCAUUAAUUAAACAAUGGUCUCACCUUCAAAGUCAGUACACACGCAGUCUCUUGGAUGUUGGUACUUUAAGUUCGUGGAGUAUCAUUUAAGGGCACACUUCCUUGCUAAUCCUUUCUAAAUUAACAAGCAUUUGAUGAAGUUG